AGUGCUGCUUUUGAUUUCUGAUGCAGCUCAGGCUGACAACUAUGAAGAAGUGUUUUCUCACAUGAAACCAAAUAGCAUACUUGGUCUUUCGCAUGGAUUCCUUCUCGGCCAUUUGCAGUCAUUGGACCUUGACUUUCCCAAGAACAUCAGUGUGAUUGCUGUAUGUCCCAAGGGAAUGGGCCCGUCUGUCCGGAGAUUAUAUGUACAAGGAAAAGAAAUCAAUGGUGCUGGAAUCAAUGCAAGUUUUGCGGUUCACCAGGAUAUAGAUGGAAGAGCCACUGAUGUUGCUCUUGGGUGGUCAGUUGCCCUUGGUUCCCCCUUUACAUUUGCAACCACCCUGGAACAGGAAUACAGAAGCGAUAUAUUUGGCGAGCGAGGUAUAUUACUUGGUGCUGUCCAUGGCAUUGUCGAGUCUUUGUUCAGAAGGUACACGGAAAAUGGAAUGAGUGAAGAGCUUGCAUACAAG
rnacentral:misc_RNA from 1 species